rnacentral:rRNA from 1 species
GACGAACGCUGGCGGCGUGCUUAACACAUGCAAGUCGAACGGAAAGGCCCUGCUUUUGUGGGGUGCUCGAGUGGCAAACGGGUGAGUAACACGUGAGUAACCUGCCCUUGACUUUGGGCUAACUUCAGUAAACUGGGGCUAAUACCGGAUAGGAGCUCCUGCUGCCUGGUGGGGGUUGGCAAGUUUCGGCGGUUGGGGAUGGACUCGCGGCUUAUCAGCUUGUUGGUGGGGUAGUGGCUUACCAAGGCUUUGACGGGUAGCAGGCCUGAGAAGGUGACCGGCAACAUUGGGACUGAGAUGCGGCGCAGACGCCUCCGGGAGGCAGCAGUGGGGAAGAUUGCACAGUGGGCGGAAGCCUGAUGCAGCAACGCCGCGGGGGGGAUGACGGCCUUCGGGGUGUAAACCGCUUUCGCCUGUGACGAAGCGAGAGUGACGGUAACGGGUAAAGAAGCACCGGCUAACUACGUG